rnacentral:rRNA from 1 species
GAUGAACGCUGGCGGCGUGCCUAAUACAUGCAAGUCGAGCGAACGGACGAGAAGCUUGCUUCUCUGAUGUUAGCGGCGGACGGGUGAGUAACACGUGGAUAACCUACCUAUAAGACUGGGAUAACUUCGGGAAACCGUAGCUAAUACCGGAUAAUAUUUUGAACCGCAUGGUUCAAAAGUGAAAGACGGUCUUGCUGUCACUUAUAGAUGGAUCCGCGCUGCAUUAGCUAGUUGGUAAGGUAACGGCUUACCAAGGCAACGAUGCAUAGCCGACCUGAGAGGGUGAUAGGCCACACUGGAACGGAGACACGGUCAAGACUCCUAAGGGAGGCAGCAGUAGGGAAUCUUACGCAAUGGGCGAAAGCCUGACGGAGCAACGCCGCGUGAGUGAUGAAGGUCUUCGGAUCGUAAAACUCUGUUAUUAGGGAAGAACAGAUGUGUAAGUAACUGUGCACAUCUUGACGGUACCUAAUCAGAAAGCCACGGCUAACUACGUG